rnacentral:lncRNA from 1 species
AGUAUUGUGGUGACAAUAUCUGUAUGCCUGAAGUCUUCUGAAGUGGAAAGUGACCUGUUUUGUUUGUGGAAGCUCUGGAAUCCCACAGGAGAAGGAUCGCUCAGCACCAUGGCCAUUUGCCAAGUACAACUUGUUCUGAAACACAGUGGUUCUGAGAAGUUGCAUUAUCAACUGAAGCACAAUGUCAGCGUAGCAGGAGACUCCGGAGAUCUAGAGAGGCAUCCACACUUGUGUGUUUUUGGAGGAACUAAACCAUUUGAUUUCUUAAGGACCCAGACUAGAAGAACAGGUUACUUCUGAGUUAUGGGAAGCUUUGAUUUAGAUUCCAAUGCCUAUAUGGCACUGAGGAUUCAUUUAUGCUUCACUUAUGUGGAAAAAAUGCCUGUGAUAGUGUCUGUAAAGCCAUGUUCCCUGAUAAUCUUCAUUUUAAAUCUGGAUUGCCCUUGGGGAAUCAUAAAGACAGACUAUUGGUAAACUGAGGGGAGCCUCUGGAAACAUCCAGAUUUGCAGAAUCUUCCAGCAUCUCCUUGAAAGCUUUAAUUAUCAGUGGUGUCUCUGCUACUUGCAUCACAUACUCCACAGAGCAGCCUGCAUUAUCACACCAUCUCACCAAAUCCCCUUGCACAGUUCUGUGUACAGUCUGGUAGUCACUGGGGUGACAUUUAGAAGCAGCGUUGGCAUGAUCCAAGAGCCUAGACAAAGCCUGUAGAAAUCAUUAUGUUUUGGGCUAAGCUUGAAGUCACUCCAAAUUUUAAUCUCCAAUAUGUACAAUGGAAAAAAAAAUUCACCUUCCAUUCAUAUUUCAUUGUAUUUUUUUUUGAUUGUAUGUUUUGUCAAGCACUUUUUUUUCCCAAAUACCUCGUAUAUCUGCUGCAUUGCAUCUGUGAAGAUAUGGUUUUUUCACUAGACUGUGAUAAUUAAGAAAGAGUUCUACUAAAAUUAAGCUGUAACCUAUUUGCAAGCUCCGUGUCUCUGAUCUAUUCAGUCAAAUACCAAGUUUCAACUCAAACUUAGGGAGAGUGGUGAUAGCUGUGUGAUUGCGACCUCUGUGCCGUGCUUAUCAACCAUCUUCACUGCAGUUAUCAGUACUUUGUUUUUAACUGUCUCUUCGUUCUUUCUCCGUGGUUGCAGUUGUAUGACCAUUUCUGCUAUUAUACCCAAAAGCAAAAACUGAAACAGGAGGAAUAUGAUUAACGAUUUAACUUGAACCUGUCAAAUACUGUGUCAUUAAAAGCAAAAAGCACUUCCCAUGAAUCAGAACAUUUAAGCUAUUAGAAUGGAUAAAAAUACAACAGAAUUCACAGCUAUGCUUGUGAUUUUUUUUAUUUUUUUUUAUUUUAAGAAAGGAGAUCCAAUUCUCUGCAAGAAAAUGCCAUGGGAACUAGAAAGAGGCAUUUUAUCCUGUUAAUCAUAGUUGUUUCUAUACAAACUUUUGUAUCUAAUCUACUGUGUACAAAACUAUAUAAUAAUGAAUAAAUGCUAAAAGCUUUGGUUUAAAUGACAAGUUGAUACCCUCCCUUCUCACUGAUGAAAAAGGAUAGAGAUUGAAGUGUAGAGUAAUAGCUCUUAUUCACCAAAAUGUGAACUUUCAAAAUGGAUUAAAUGUAUGAGUCCCC